rnacentral:lncRNA from 1 species
ACCACUUCCAUGCAUCAUCACUCGACACAUGCCCACGUCUACCACAGCAAGUUGAUCACACCAACACAUAAUACAAUCAAUACCAAAACAUGACAACACGGCCAGGCCAAACAUAUAUCAUAGCAUAAAACCACACUUGCAUAGCAGAAUAUAGGAUAAGCAAAAUCAAAGUGCAAACUUGCCUUGAACGGUAUUGAAGUACUCUAAUGCUUAAUUUCGAUCCGCUUCACACUUCGGACAAUCGGAGAACAGAGCAAGGUGGUCACCGGACUUGGAGAAGAACGCGUCGGGCGGCUCGGUAGUGAUGCGAGCGACGGCUACAGGGGCCGUCCGGCUACGUCGAGAUCACCGACGGGUGCAGAACGCCACAGAGAUGAAUUAGGUGACAUCGGAGACGAUUGGGGCUUGCUCCUGUGGUGACAGUGACCAGCUGGAGCGGAGCUGCCUCCAUGAAGCUUCGGGCGGAGGUCCUAGGGCUCGAUGUGGUGUCUCCCUGCGCAGAAUAAGAGAUGAGGGAGGUAGAGGAGACCAAAGCGAAUCUAACCAUAGGGAAAGGAGGUGUUGGGAACCUACAUACGCGACGGAAUCGACCAGCGGGAAGCUUCUGGACGGAGGUACCCCGGCGAGGUCCAGCGGCGCGUUCUAGGGCACGGGAGAUCUCCGUUUGGCGAAAAAUCGUACGAGGAGGACACAGGGAGUAUUUAUACGGACGUGGGUCUACGCGAGGAGCAAAGAUUGAGCCAAAUCGGAGUGGAUUUGGUUCGGGGACACUCUCGUGCGUUUCCAGGAGUUCGUCCAGAGGAAGGAGACGACGCCUGGGACCCUCUCGUCAGCGGCACUAGGAGAAGGAAAAAAACAAAAGAAAGGUUGCGG